UACACGCUGUGACUAGCAUAUCAAUAAGCGGAGGAAAAGAAACUAACAAGGAUUCCCUCAGUAACGGCGAGUGAAGCGGGAAGAGCUCAAAUUUGAAAUCUUGAAAGGUCACCUUUCACGAAUUGUAGUUUAAAGAAGUGUUUUCUGUUACGAUCGUAAUAUAAGUUCUUUGGAAUAGGACAUCACAGAGGGUGAGAAUCCCGUCUAUGAUUGCGAUUUGUAGCUUUGUGAUACACUUUCAAAGAGUCGGGUUGUUUGGGAAUGCAGCCCAAAACGGGAGGUAAAUUUCUUCUAAGGCUAAAUAUUGGCGAGAGACCGAUAGCGAACAAGUACCGUGAGGGAAAGAUGAAAAGAACUUUGAAAAGAGAGUUAAAGCUAGUACGUGAAAUCGUCAAAAGGGAAGCGUUUAACACCAGUGUUGUUCUCUGAAAAUCAACCUCUGUUAGCUUUAUGCAUGUUUGUUUAGACCUAAUCAGCUAUCUUGCAUGUUCUAUUGUUUGCAGUGGUGCACUUUUCAGUUUACAGGUCAACAUCAGUUUUUUUUACCGUAAAAAAGUUAAAGAAAGGUAGCUCAUGGCUCCGGUCGUGAGUGUUAUAGUCUUUUUCCUAUGCGGUAGGAGAGACUGAGGUCUGCAGUGUAGGCUAUUUGGCUAGAUACUCAGGUGCUAUGUGAGUACCAUUUCAUAAACAACUUGUUGAUUAUGUUUUGUCUAUUGCAUACUCGCUUGUACUAUCAUACCUACGCUUAGGAUGUUGAGUAGCGACAUACGCAC
rnacentral:rRNA from 1 species